UGGGGAAUCUUGCACAAUGGGGGCAACCCUGAUGCAGCGACGCCGCGUGAGCGAUGAAGGUUUUCGAAUCGUAAAGCUCUGUCCUAUGGGAAGAUAAUGACGGUACCAUAGGAGGAAGCCCCGGCUAACUACGUGCCAGCAGCCGCGGUAAUACGUAGGGGGCGAGCGUUGUCCGGAAUUACUGGGCGUAAAGGGUUCGCAGGCGGCAUGGCAAGUCCGAUGUAAAAGGCGAAGGCUCAACCUUCGUAAGCAUCGGAAACUGUCAAGCUUGAGUGAAGGAGAGGCAAGUGGAAUUCCUAGUGUAGCGAUGGAAUGCGUAGAUAUUGGGAGGAACACCAGUAGCGAAGGCGGCUUUCUGGACUGCAACUGACACUGAGGCACGAAAGCGUGGGUAGCAAACAGG
rnacentral:rRNA from 1 species